rnacentral:lncRNA from 1 species
UGAUCCCCGUCUUUUUCUUUUCUUUUUAUUUUUACAUCCACACAACCAUGAGCAUUUUCUUUGUUUUUUCUAACUUUUCUUUUUCUUUGCUCUAUGGUUUCAAGGGUGAUUUCUUUUUCUUGUUUCUUUUCAUAUUUUCACCCUUUAAUAAAAACUCACUUUUCCAAGUUUCUAAUCAAAUAUUUUUACUUUACUCUCCCCAACUUUAGAUUCCAAAACCAAAUUUAUUCAAUAAUGCUCCCUACUUAGACAUAAGCAAAAGGCAAAAUUUGUAAACAACUCGGUUUGAGGGUUCAAUUGACACGAAAGAUCCAAAACCAAAUUUAUUCAAUAAUGCUCCCUACUUAGACAUAAGCAAAAGGCAAAAUUUGUAAACAACUCGGUUUGAGGGUUCAAUUGACACGAAAGAAAUUAGGAUUCAUUUAUUCACAAAAUUUCCAAUUGAUUUU